GUUCCUGCUGGACUUUAACCUCUGUGGUCUCUGGCACUCCGAUUAUUUUGUGGACGCCAAGGCUGGCUAUCACACAAGUCAUAAGCAGAAGAAGGUGGAGGCGCUGCAGCCCUGCGACACGGCGUAUCCCGGCUUCAUGUACGACUCGUCAGUCAGAGAAGCCAACAGCCUCAUCAAGUGUGGACGCUGCCAGAAGAUGUUCGUGGUGCAGCAGAUUCCCGACAGUAACCUGGUUCUGGUUGUGACUCAGGCUGACUGUGACUGUUCCCGUCAGUACGGACCCAUCCCGCUGGAGCCCAAAGAGAUCA